rnacentral:ncRNA from 1 species
UUAUGCAUGAGCCGGUGCCCAUCCGGCGCAGUCAUUGAUUCAAAAAAGAUGAAGUGGUCUGCACCGGGUGUGGCUGAGAUUAUACGGCCUUGAACUUGAUCUGGAUAAUACCAGCGAAAGGAUCAUGCCAUGAAACCCU